UACGUAGGGGGCGAGCGUUGUCCGGAAUCAUUGGGCGUAAAGCGCGUGUAGGCGGCUCGAUAAGUCCGGUGUGAAACCUUGGGGCUCAACCCCAAGCCUGCACUGGAUACUGUCGAGCUCGAGCCGGGAGGGGAGAGCGGAAUCCUAGUGUAGCGGUGAAAUGCGCAGAUAUCAGGAAGAACACCCGUGGCUAAGGCGGUUCUCUAGUACGGUACUGACGCUGAGACGCGAAAGCGUGGGGAGCGAACAGG
rnacentral:rRNA from 1 species